AUGUUAGAGUUUAAGAGAUUUAAGUUGUG
rnacentral:piRNA from 1 species